AUCAAAUUGUUUACUACUUGAUCCAAUUUUAUCUCACAUUUUAUCCUCCAACUGCUCCGUUUUAUUAUUUCUUAUACAAUUCCCUACUCGCAUCAACCAAAUAUCAAAAGGAACGGGUAUUGACCGCUUAUGAAGAUUUAUUUCCGCCAGUCUCAUUUUCUAAAUGACCUACAUAUGCUUGCAUUCUACUAUUACAUCAAGGGCUCAACUUGUUUGGUGUUUAAUCAAUUGCGAGGAGUUAUCUGUACCUGUCCAUUCAUUUAAUAAUCAGCAUCAACAGUGCUUGUCAUAAAGACAAAAGGAACCAAUGAGAGGACAAAAAUAAGGUCUUUGAUAGCAGGG
rnacentral:lncRNA from 1 species